CCGGGUCUCCAUACGAAGAAAUAAAUUCCUCUGAAACCCCAUUGUGUAAAUAUCACAGCGCACCGCCAGAUCUCACUCUCCACACCAAUGGCUUCUCCACCGACACUUCCGAUUUCCGGCCCUCAGUCGGCUGCCGGAGCUCCAUCUCAGCCACCCAUCGCCACUCCUGCCUUCCGCGCUUUUCUCUCUCGUUUAACCUCCUCCGUCCGCCAAGGCUUCUCCCAUCGCCGCCCAUGGUCGGAGCUUGUCGAUCGGAGUUCUAUGGCUCGUCCCGAUAACCUUUCCGAAGCCUAUUCCCGGAUCCGCAAGAACUUCUCAUACUUUCGUGUCAAUUACAUCACACUCUUUGCCCUUGUUCUGGGUUUUUCUCUUCUUUCUCACCCGUUUUCUCUCUUGACUCUUCUUUCACUUCUCGCUGCUUGGAGCUUUCUCUACAUUUUCCGUCCUUCCGAUCAGCCGCUGGUUAUUCGCGGCCGUACUUUUUCCGAUUUCGAAACUUUGGUCGGGUUGGGGGUUCUGACUGUCAUUGUGGUGUUCCUCACUAGUGUUG
rnacentral:misc_RNA from 1 species